rnacentral:misc_RNA from 1 species
GAUGAAGAACGUAGCGAAAUGCGAUAAGUAAUGUGAAUUGCAGAAUUCAGUGAAUCAUCGAAUCUUUGAACGCACCUUGCGCUCCUUGGUAUUCCGAGGAGCAUGCCUGUUUGAGUGUCAUUAAAUUCUCAACCAUUAUCAACUUUUGCUGAUAAUGGCUUGGAUGUGGGGGUCUAUUUUGCUGGCUUCUCAGAUAGUCAGCUCCCCUUAAAUGCAUUAGCCGGUGCCCCGCGUGGACUGUCUAUUGGUGUGAUAAUUAUCUACGCUAUAGACAUCUGCAAUCAUAUGGGUUUGCGCUGCUUCUAACAGUCUGUUGAUUCAGACAAUACAUGACAAUUUGACCUCAAAUCAGGUAGGACUACCCGCUGAACUUAAGCAUAUCAAUAGCGGAGGA